UAUGAAACAUUUUGAUAUUUUAAAGUGCAA
rnacentral:piRNA from 1 species